AGUUGGUGUGUCUGGGAGCGAUCGAACAAGCAGGAGGGAGGGGGAAACCCUAGCUCAAGAAAUCAAGCAAUCCAACUCAAGAUCAUAAGUUAAUUCAGUGCAUGAUCCCUAAAUUGCGUGAAAGAAGAAGGUACGAGCACUAAGCAAGCGGAAGGUGCACAAGAUCGAGGUAAAGCACCUCUAUAGGCGAUUUGGAGUUAUGGGACGAGCACAUGUUCAAGCCUUAUAAUACCAAGCGCUUCCGCAACUCAUAUGCAUACUUUUGGGUCCAUGUUUUGCCACUUUGUUAGACUUUGUUGAAAUGUUUUAGAUUUAAAAACUCGUUACUUUUGUUGGAAUGGAUUUUAUGUAAAUUGGGUCGUAGGUAAACGUUGUAUGUUAUGUCAAAACAGGGAGUAUGUCCGUUUUACAAACGGGUCAUGCCCAAUUUUU
rnacentral:lncRNA from 1 species